GACAGAGGGUGCAAACGUUGUUCGGAAUUACUGGGCGUAAAGCGCGUGUAGGCGGCUCGGCAAGUCGGGUGUGAAAGCCCUGGGCUUAACCUAGGAAGUGCACUCGAAACUGCCAAGCUUGAGUUCUGGAGAGGAAGGCGGAAUUCUCGGUGUAGAGGUGAGAUUCGUAGAUAUCGAGAGGAACACCGGUGGCGAAGGCGGCCUUCUGGACAGCAACUGACGCUGAGACGCGAAAGCGUGGGGAGCAAACAGG
rnacentral:rRNA from 1 species